rnacentral:siRNA from 1 species
GUUAGGUUAGUUCUCGUCAAUGGU